rnacentral:rRNA from 3 species
CGCGAAGAACCUUACCUGGUCUUGACAUCCACAGAAUUUUUUAGAAAUAAGAAAGUGCCUUUUAGGAACUGUGAGACAGGUGCUGCAUGGCUGUCGUCAGCUCGUGUUGUGAAAUGUUGGGUUAAGUCCCGCAACGAGCGCAACCCUUGUCCUUUUUUGCCAGCGGUUCGGCCGGGAACUACAAGGAGACUGCCGGUUAUAAACCGGAGGAAGGUGGGGACGACGUCAAGUCAUCAUGGCCCUUACGACCAGGGCUACACACGUGCUACAAUGGUAUAUACAAAGAGAAGCAAAUUCGCGAGGAUAAGCAAAUCUCAUAAAGUAUAUCUUAGUUCGGACUGGAGUCUGCAACUCGACUCCACGAAGUCGGAAUCGCUAGUAAUCGUGAAUCAGAAUGUCA